CCCCCCCCCCCCCCCCCCCCUGGGUAGAAAAUUGGUAGAAAAUGAUAUUUUUCCUCUGUUUUCUGAUUUAGAUAUUGCCAUGUCCACUGUUGGCACUGCUGAAAGGAUAGAAGACUUUUCUACAGAAGUGACAGUGUACCGCUGCAGGAACUGUAACAGCUGCACAUGCAAGUCUGGGGCAAAUGAUUUUGAAAACUUUAAAAAAAUCGCUGACACACAAAACAACAUAUUUUCAGAUGUAAUAAUAGAGUUGGAGACCAAUAAAACCCACACCACUGUUUGUUUUGAGGAACCAAAUUUCUGUCUUGAAGAAGUUUAUGGCAUCUUCUGGAGGAGAGAUGGGGGAUCAGGACUCUCGUGUGGCACCCUGAGUUCUGGAGAAAAUGGAAGAGGUGACAUCAGUACUGAGAAGACUAUUUGCUGUGAAGCAGAGACAGAUACCAGGAGAUACAAUCCUGAAGUGAAGUGCUUCUACACUCAAAAGUCACGUCCAAAACUCAAGACACUUCCAGUUGGCGAUCCUGCUGAGAGAAUUGCAGAUGGGGCCAGUUCCUUUGUGUGGUGCUCACGAGGCAGUUCAUGGCUUGGCACUCCUGCUUGCUUCACUUGGAUGCUCUGUUUUCUUCUGCUCUGCAGGUAAUCCUGAAUUUCUCACCAGCACAGAGAGCAGCCCUGGCAUGCGGAUCGGCAUCUCGUGUGCAGUCCUGUUUGUUGGGAUUUGCACACUAUUGGUUGCCAUGUAUUACUGCCGGCAGCGGCAUGGCCAAGGUACAGUCUGACAGAUUGUGUGUUACCUGUGGGUGGAUGUGGAAGAUUUACCUGGAAGUAAAGGGUUUUCCUCCUGGAUCUCAUCUCCAUUGUGCUGUUCAUGCAGUUCUUCAUGAUCUUCCCUGGGCUGGAAUGAACUCUCCUCCCGUGGCUGCUGUGACACUGCCCAUGGGGUGCCUCUGUUAUGCAAAAUAAGCCCAGAAGGAAUUUCCUCCCUGCUUCCUCCUGACACAAGGGGGAAGCACUGGCAGGGCCAAGAGAUCACAGGGCUCAGCCUUCCCUCCAUGGGAUGCUGUUCCUGGCAGCAGUCCCAGACUGCAGCAUUGCUGUGCAGCUUCCCUGGCACAGAGAGAUGUGUCCCAGGCAGGACACUGAUGGACGUUUGGGCAUGGGCUGACUUCAGGAGAGUGCUUCCCUCUCUCAGCCCUGCCCACUACAGAGCCAGCUGUAAUUUAGGAACGAGUAUUUCCCGAAAUGCAUCCAGGAGGGAAGCUUGUUUUGCAAACCAAUGUGCAUGGAGAGAGGUGGAUGGGCUCUGUGGAGACGUGUACAGACACUUCUUGAGCCUGCCAUAUGCUGUCCCCCUCCAUCCUGUGUCCAUGGGCUCCAGUGGUUUUGGCACCUUGUGUAUGCCUGAGGCUGAGACUCCUCUCGGUUACUGAGCUGCUCCAUCCCCUAGAAACUGAUGCUGGUUGUUUCUUUCUGAGAGUCAAAGGAUUAAAUUUCCAAGUGUGAAUUUGCUUCAAGAGGAGUUGCACAAGUGCUUGCAGAGGCACACAAAACCAGUCUCACUAGCAGAUGGGAGAGGGGAGGAGCCUACAGGACUUCACAAAUACAGGCAUUUUGUUUAUAAUUCCAACUGGAAUCUACAGAUUUUUUUUUUUCACUUCUGCAGCUUGUAGGCGAGGCCGACAGGCUCCUGAAGGAGAAAAUCUUGUACAUGUUUGAUAACCAUCUCCAAAAGAGAAGCUCUGCCAGCAGCAUCCUGCUCCUCCUACUUUCUCUAAGGAUGUACAGCAAUCAACUGAACACAGACUGAUUUUUCCAUGAGAACUUCUGCCCUUGUAUUCACAAACAGUUGUGUUUUCACAAAUGUACUUUCACCACAUCCUCACCCUCCAUCAACAACACGAACAAUACCUGUCCAUUCCUCCAGUUCCACUUCCAUACAAAGCAAAAUUAUAUUUAUAAAGACUUCUGUAAUUGAGGAAUGCCACCAGAGCUCCUGCACGAUCAGAGGCUCCAUUGCUGUGACUGAUUUUGGCAAUCUAAGGUGGGACAGUAACAGUUCCCUCUGUUCUGUGAUUACUGCUCUGGAUUUUUGAGUCAGAGCAAAACUUCACAUCUACAAGAGCAGAUGCCCCCAUGUAUGGCUGUGGUCACUUUGCUGGGGGGCUGUGCUGUGC
rnacentral:lncRNA from 12 species